UGGGGAAUAUUGGACAAUGGGCGAAAGCCUGAUCCAGCCAUGCCGCGUGUGUGAAGAAGGUCUUCGGAUUGUAAAGCACUUUAAGUUGGGAGGAAGGGCAGUAAGCGAAUACCUUGCUGUUUUGACGUUACCGACAGAAUAAGCACCGGCUAACUCUGUGCCAGCAGCCGCGGUAAUACAGAGGGUGCAAGCGUUAAUCGGAAUUACUGGGCGUAAAGCGCGCGUAGGUGGUUCGUUAAGUUGAAUGUGAAAGCCCCGGGCUCAACCUGCGAACUGCAUCCAAAACUGGCGAGCUAGAGUAGGGCAGAGGGUGGUGGAAUUUCCUGUGUAGCGGUGAAAUGCGUAGAUAUAGGAAGGAACACCAGUGGCGAAGGCGACCACCUGGGCUCAUACUGACACUGAGGUGCGAAAGCGUGGGGAGCAAACAGG
rnacentral:rRNA from 1 species